CACGGAGGCCUCAAGCGUUGUUCGGAAUUACUGGGCGUAAAGGGUGCGUAGGCGGCGAGGUAAGUCAGAUGUGAAAGCCCGGGGCUCAACCCCGGAAUUGCAUCCGAUACUGCCUUGCUUGAGGAUUGGAGAGGAGACUGGAAUUCACGGUGUAGCAGUGAAAUGCGUGGAUAUCGUGAGGAAGGCCAAUGGCGAAGGCAGGUCUCUGGACAAUUCCUGACGCUGAUGCACGAAGGCCAGGGGAG
rnacentral:rRNA from 1 species